rnacentral:tRNA from 1 species
GGGUCCGUAGUACAACGGCAAUAUAAUCGCCUCCAGAGCGAUUGAUGGGGGUUCAAUUCCCUCCGGGCCCA